ensembl:lncRNA
GCACAUAGCAAGUAUUCACUCAUAAUUAUUGUUAGCUAUCAAUCCUUUCCUUCCCUCUGUCCCCACUUUUGGGAUACAUGAAAACGUCUGCCAAGAGAGACUUAAAAAGGAGAUGUUUCUGGCUAGGUUUUAAGGUUCUGGCUAGGUUUUAAGAUAUUCUUGUCCUAAUUUCAUGUACUUGGCUGGUCUUCUAUGCCCCACAGGCCCUUGUCAGCAAAAAGCCUAACAGCCUGGGUCAUAACAGUCUCAGUAACAGGGCUGAUACAUUAAUUAAAAGACAGAUUUCUCAGCCUCUGUCUUCUGUUGUUUUCAAACAUUACACUGGGAGCUUCAAUUGUGACUGCAAUCCUGAUUUACUUCCUGAUCAAUUUGGACAAUGCUGGAAAAUGAAGUGGUUCCUUCUGUUUCUUCCAAUGUGUGUCAAGAGACAAGACCUCAGAACUGUGACUCUUAGAGCUACCUUCUAGCAGCCAGAGAGAGAACUCACACAGAUCAGAAGGUCCCAUGGAGUACAUGCAUUUCAAAAAUGCAUCUUUGAGCAUUCUGCUGCAAAAUGAGAUAACUCAUGAAAUAAAAACGCUGGAAACCACUGAUAUGGACCACCCUGGCUGUUUGGAGAAAGGAUACUGACCAGCCAUUGGACCCUCACACCAUCCUGCGGCCCCAGGUCAUUCUGCCUUUCCCCUAGGCUUCAGUCUCCCUCAUCCUCUCUUCACCUCCCAGGCCAUUGUGGCUCAUUUCUGCUGCCUCUGGCUGGAAUGACUAUUCAUUCAAAUUCUUCCCCUCCUCCAAGGUUCUGCUCAAGUCACAUUUCCUCUAGGAAUUCUACAAUCCCUAGCAUACAAAUAGCCUCUUCUCAUUUUCCUGAUGUACUCUGUACUCCCCGAAUCCAGGGCGCAUGUGAUGAAAGCUGAAAUGGCUAUUUAUGUGUCUAUCUUCCUACCACUUCCCAUCAUCAUGUGAGCUUCGGAUGCAGGACUAGAUCAUUUUCUUCUUUUUCUUCUAACUCACUGAAGAACUGGCACAGUAUAUU